CAAUCACUUAAUGGACGAUCUGACUGCCAGGGUGCGGGGUUCCAAGAGGAAAUUUGAUAAAGUAUGGGGUUUGUGGGGGGAAUGCCCACUCGCAGAUUAGGAUUGGAGAGGGACCGGGGGCAGGCAUGUACCUGAACUGUGGCCGCUCGUGCCCCCCCCCGUACUUCCCCUCAUCCUCAUCCCCUCCCGGACGCGACCCACUCUCUUCCUUUCUUUUUCUAACCUUUCUUCUCCCGGUCAUACAUAGCUCACCCACGAGCCAAACUUUCGCGAAAUCCGCACACAUAGACAGUUAACAGGCAAACAAUGAAUAAAAUUAGAGAAUGAAAUACUUAGAUAAGGCAUCCACCUAUAAGGAUUCACACAGCCUUCAGCCUAUAUUAGUGGUC